CAAAAUGGACCCCUUUGGCUCUGCUGUUAAUGACUCUGGCACACCACUAGGCCUAGGGAGAGGAAGAGCACAGGGUAGUCAUAGCUUUCCUGCCUUAUGAACCUGCAGUUACAGAGAUGAAACUGUCACACAAGAGGCCCACAGAGCCAAAACAGUUUUUUCUCCCUUUAUUUCUCUCCACUCAUUAUUCCUUCUUCCUGCAGAAUGAGCAAUGAAAGAAGUGACACCUUUAUUUCCUAGCUCUGUUGCAAGCAAAGUAAGGAGAUACGCAGGAGGGGAAACACUGAACAUAAGAUCUGGAAGUUGUUUUUGUCCAGAACUGCUGCUAACAACACUGAGUUAUUUUAGAAGUCUUAAAAUUCUUCCAAACAAAAUAUUUUGAAAUAACUAACAGAAAGUAACCAUCACUUCUCAUGAAAGUGUCAGUGGCAAACUCCAGGCACUACUCUUACAGUACCUCAAACACACUCCCUGGUUGUCAUUCAGCUUGUGCAAAGAACAGUCAGAAGACAGGCAGUAUCAACAAUGUGAAAUGAAAAAUAGCAGACUAGGGUGGGUUAUUUUCCCUCUGCUCAGACAUACUGGCCAUCUCACAGGUUCACAAAGAUGACCUCUCUCCAGAGGUCAUCAUACAAACACCUAGUACAGCAACAAUAUUUCCUCAUACAUCGAUACACAUUUUUAAGAGUUAAUUUGAGGUGGGGGCCAUUGGUAGGAAAAAAAUGCCAAAAAGCAGGGCAACAAGAAUACCUCGCCUGACAAUGAGAACAAAGUCCCUUGCCACACUGUCAUUCUUGUUUGAGCAAUUUUUCUUCUGUCUUGAAUAUCUGGGAAAGGUUGUUCAUUGACUUUGGCAAUGUUUUUUGGUACGCACACAUCCAACGCAAGCAGUUUAAGAUACAGCUUCUAAAGAGGAGCCACCUACACAUGCAGCUCAUUUCUAUUUCCACCUUGAUUUCAGAAGAAGGUAUGGUAUGUAUGCAUAUGGGAGCCCCGCAGGCAAAGCACUGCCAUGUGGUAAGGCAGGCCAUGCCAUAGCACCAGUAAAACCCAGUUGGAACAGCUGCAUAGAGGCUGGAGAGGAAAACACAAGCUGCAGCAAUGAAGUAUGUGAGAAAUACCAAUGAGAAACUUCUUGCAGAGACAUCAGGCAAGGAGAGAUGGGCAAAUGGGUGUGCUGGCAAACACUCUUAGAGGUGAAUGCAUGUUCACAAAAUCCCUUGCUCUCACACUUAGGAUCUUCCUUUCCUUUCUUCCC